GCGACACGGGGACACCCGGCUGCGAGCGGGUGGGGAUCCUUGUGGAAAGGGCCCCGGGGAGACGUCCUAUAGGCCCUGCUACUCCGUGUCCGCACGUUCCUGUUCCUUUUGUGGAAUGUUAGCUUGCUGCGGGGCCGGGAAUCCAGGAAGGCUUCUCAGAGGAGGCGGCUGUGGAGAGGGAUUUUCCGAGGAAAGAAAGCAUUCCCACCAGGAGGAUGUGGUUCGUUAGUUCGUUGGCUUCAGGGAUCGUGGCAGGUACUGCAGCUGAGGGGAGCAGUGGUGUGUGGGGAGGGUGGAGGGUUGGCGGGAGAUGCCGUGUGGCCUUCAGGGCAAGACGGCUAGGAGGACAGGCCAUCCCUACAAUGACAGCGACGUUCCUUUGUUGCUCCUCUGUGUAGGGCUCAGUUCUGAGGCUCUAUGUGUAUGACUUCAUUUAACUGUUACACGUUCUUUAAGAGGGGCAAUAUUACUAUCACCCCCAGUUUACAGAAGGGGAAACAGAGGCACAAGAUGGUAAGUGACUUAACAAGGUCGAGCGGCUGUGAGUGAUAGAACUGAGCUCAGAGGCCAUGCCGCCCAACCUCUGGGCCCAGUCGAUGCACCAAAUGCCUCCCAGGGAGGUGGGAUGCUUGGCUUCAAAGGUCACUGCCCUUCUCAAGGGAGCAGGACCCAGGAGGGGUAAGGUGUGACAGAAACAAGAAGAAGCCUGGAAACUUCAAGAGAGUGGGGCUAGAUGGAAGGAACACGAGAUGUGGAGACCCAAGACCUGGAUUUGAAUCCUGACACUGACUCAUUUUGUGGACUUUGGCAACUCUGUUAGCCUCUGGGCCUCCGUUAUAUGAUCUGCCAAAUAGGGUUCUUUCAUUUGCUCGAUAAUGUUUACUGAGCACUACCACGUGCACGUUCCUUCUGGAUGCUGGGGCCAGGACACACGCUCCCGGGUGAAGGGAGGAGGAUAGUGAACAAAUCAGCAGCGGAGAAGGAGACGUCUCAAGGUAAGUGUUAGUAAAGAAUAAAACAGGAGAAAGGGCAUAGGGGUUGAGUGACCACUCUUAGUUAAGACGUCAUGACAUUUGUGCUGACAGCUAAAGCCUGAGAAAGGGCCUUGUGAAGAUCUGGGGGAGAACCCAUUCCCUGGCUGAGGGCCGAGCAAGUGCAAAGGGCCUAAGGCAUGAAUGACCUUGGAGGUUAAUGAGAAGCUCAAAUAAAUGAGUCAAACCUGCUUAUAGGUCAGGCUCUGGGGAUGGGUGGGGGAUGGUAGGGGGAGGGAUGGACGGAUGGACGCUAUUCCCCCUGUCCCAGCUUAGCCCACAGGCCCCAGAAGGAGGCCCUAUGUGUCAGUUAACAGCCUCUGGUUUCUUUCCCAAAUCCAACCUCACGUGGGGAGGCUGAUUCCCCAAGAGAGCCAGCUGCUUGGUGUCUGUUUGGAUUUGCAUUAGGACAGGAAUACUCCUAAUUUAAUUUCUCCUUUGUGUCUCUCUGAGUGACUAACUCCAUGAGUCGUCUCUAAGAAGAACGUGCCGGAGAUGAAAAACAGCAGAUUUUAAAUGAAAAUCGAGAGCUGCAUACAGACCUUUGGCAGUCUCCAACGCUGGGCGCUGACCCCUUCUGGCUCAGGGCCGUGCACACAGAUGGUGCUCAAUGUAUGCUCACUAGGCGUGUGUGACCUCACCAGUCAGGAUGCUCUGUUUCUAGUCCCCCUUUGGCUCUCCUGCUGCAAAGGCACACUGGAGGAGGCGGGCCAGCUGGGAGGUGGCAGGACAGAGGUCACUCAUCAGAGGGAGUCAGGCCAGGCAUCCAGCCAAUUCAGUAGUGGCUGUGUGCAUUUCCUGGAGCGGCACCUGACAUCUGCCACCCCAGCCUGAUUUCUGGAGCACCUACAACAUCCCGGAUACUGCGUCUACCCACUCGGCCCACGUGGAUUGUGGCUGCUGCCUCUACAUGACCCCAGGACACUUCCACGUCCCUUCCUUAGGAUCAGCGGUGAUGGGGCUCCUAGGAGACAAGCCCCAACCAGAAUGGUCUUGGGGGCGCCCAAUGGUCGAUCCGUCCAUUCUCCCACUCUUGACCCCUUGGGGCUCCCUGGGCCAGAGGAGCAAAGACUGGAACUUUCCUCCCCAGGAGUUCAGCCUGCCUGCUCUUCUCAUUCUCUGGUUCUCAUCCUCACGGGACCCCAGGAACCCCAGGGCAACCAGGGCUGCAGCCCGUGGCUCCAAAGGGCAGUCAGUUCAGCUGCUGCUUCCUGCUCGGAGAUGUUUCCAGUGGCCCGACCAGCCGCCCCCAGCUUUCUUUCAUCUUUCAUCUGUUUGUUCCAAGAAAAAAAUGCAUCAUAGCAUCGCGACUCUGGGAGGGAGGCGCUGUAAUUGUCCUCAUUUUCCAAGUGAAUAAAUAGAAGUUCAAAGGAAUACUUUGUGCAAGGUCAUUGUAAGUGAUGUUGCCAGAUCUGCCUGUCUCUGGCAGCCAGAGAGCAUCCGGUGCCCAGAGCCAUUCCCGACCUGCUUUCUUUCUCUCCCAAAGAGAAUGGAAAGCUAAAACACUCAUCUCGUCAGACUUCCUUGCAGCUAGAAGUGACCAAGUGACCAGUUUUGGCCACCGACGUGUAAGCGAAAAGAACCAGGAAGAAGCUCUUGGAGCAAAUUCAGCCUUUCAAAUUUUGCCCUUUAAUUCUGUCUGGAGUCCACGUAUGAUACCUGGAGGCGUAGCAGCCAUCUUGUAACCAUGAGGUCAAAUCCCCAUGCCAAGGAUGGCAAAGUAGGAGUGUAGAAAUAAUCUGGAUUUCUGAUGACAUCCAUGGGUAGCCCUCCCCAGGCUCCUUGUUUCAUGAUGCAAAGACAUUUCUUACU